rnacentral:rRNA from 3 species
UACCAGCACCCCGAGUGGUCGGGACGAUUAUUGGGCCUAAAGCAUCCGUAGCCGGUCUUGCAAGUCUUCCGUUAAAUCCAGCUGCUUAACAGAUGGGCUGCGGAGGAUACUACAAGGCUAGGAGGCGGGAGAGGCAAGCGGUACUCAGUGGGUAGGGGUAAAAUCCUCUGAUCCAUUGAAGACCACCAGUGGCGAAGGCGGCUUGCCAGAACGCGCUCGACGGUGAGGGAUGAAAGCUGGGGGAGCAAACCGG